CUCAUUCAAACGGGGUCUAGCUAAGUGGAAAAUUGCUUUGACUCGUAAGCCAGUGGUCUUAGGUUUGAACCCCGAUGACACCUUUGUAGUAUGCGUGAGAAACCAUCUCAAACUUAUAUCCAUGUACAUAUGUACGUACACAUAUAUACACCCAUGCACUAAGGCAUGCAGAUAACUAUCCGUAUAUGCACAUUAGAAAAAGAUGACCAUUUUUUUCUUUUCCUAGGAAAAAGAUGACCAGCUGAC
rnacentral:lncRNA from 1 species